UCAAGCGAGAGGUAGGUCCAUGGCGGAUGCCUGUGGAGCCGCAUGGCGAUGAAGGCCGCGAUAAGCUGCGAAAAGCCGCGGGGAGGAGCACAUGUCCCUUGAUCCGCGGACAGCCGAAUGGGGUAACCCGCGCGCCGCGAGGCGCGCACCGCGCGCGCGAAGAAGAUAGCGCGGCGGGGCCAGACCGGGUGAAGUGAACCAUCUAAGUAACCCGGGAGAAGAAAUCAAACGAGAUUCCGCAAGUAGCGGCGAGCGAACGCGGAGGAGCCCAAACCGGAGCAGUCCGGGGUUGUAGGGCCGCAUGGGGAUGUCCCGUGGAGUGAACAAAGGCGGAGGAAGCGGAAGGCGCCGGACAGCGCCGCCGAAGAGGGUGACAGCCCCGUACGUUAAUCCGAUGCCCUCCAUGAUGCGGUACCUGAGUAGGGCGGGGCACGAGGAACCCUGUCCGAAUCCGGGUCGACCACGAUCCAAGGCUGAAUACAAGGCGGCUACCGAUAGCGAAGGAGUACCGUGAGGGAAAGGCGAAAAGAACCCCGGCGAGGGGAGUGAAACAGAACCUGAAACCAUGGACCGGCAAGAUGUCGCGGGCGCGGGCGCCCGCGGCGUGUCUUUUGUAGAAUAAACCUGCGAGUUGCGUUGCGCGGCGAGGCUAAGGGAUGGGAGUCCCGGAGCCGGAGCGAAGGCGAGUCCGAACGGGGCGGCAAGUCGCGCGGCGCAGACCCGAAGCCAAUGUGAUCUUACCAUGGGCAGGCUGAAGCAUGGGUAAAGCCGUGUGGAGGGCCGAACGGUAAUCUGUUAAAAAAGGUAGCGACGACCUGUGGUAAGGAGUGAAAGGCUAAACAAACAUGGAGAUAGCUGGCUCUCCCCGAAAUGCCUUUAGGGACAGCCUCGGGCAGGGACGGCGGAGGUAGGGCGCUGGAUGCGUGAGGGGGGGUCAAACCCUACCGAGCGCGACCAAACCGCGAAUGCCGCCGCCCAGAGCCCGGGAGUGAGACCGUGUGCGACAAGGUUCACGGUCGAGAGGGAAACAGCCCGGACCGCCGGCCAAGGUCCCGAAGUGGCGCUGAGUGUGAAAUGAUGUGCGGAUGCGAGGACAGCCAGGAGGUUGGCUCAGAAGCAGCCAUUCCUUGAAAGAGUGCGUAACAGCUCACUGGUCGAGCACCCGCGCGCAGACAAUGUAGCGGGGCUAAGCGCCACACCGAAGCCGCGGAUUCAUUGGUCCGCUUGCGGACCGUGACUGGUAGGGGAGCAUUCCGCUGACCCGCGAAGGGGCGCCCGCGAGGGGCCCUGGAGGAGGCGGAAGAGAGAAUGCAGGCAUAAGUAACGAAAAGACGGGUGGGAUCCCCGUCCGCCGAAAACCUAAGGUUUCCCGCGUGAAGGCAAUCUGCGCGGGGUAAGUCGGCCCCUAAGGCGAGGGCGGAGGCCGUAGCCGAUGGGAAGGCUGUGAAGAUUCAGCCACUCCAUACAUUUUCGAUGGCAGGACGCAUGGGGCGAGGCCCGGCGGGAGAACGGUAGUUCCCGUCGGAGCCGCGAGGCGACGAGGGCCGCAGGCAAAUCCACGGCCCGAGCCGAGCGGUGAGCGAGAGGAGAGAAAGUCGAAUCGAAGCGGGCGCAGCCGUGGUGCCGGGAAAGACUGUCUAAGGCAAGGAUGCAUGGAACCGUACCGGAAACGGACACACGUAGGUGGGAUGAGUAAUCCAAGGCGCACGAGCGACCUCGCGUUAAGGAACUCGGCAAAAUGCACACGUAACUUCGGGAGAAGUGUGGCCCAUGCUUUUAAAGAGACGUGGGCGGCAGAAAGCGGGCCCAGGCGACUGUUUAUCAAAAACACAGCCAUCUGCGAACCGGAGACGGGACGUAUAGGUGGUGACACCUGCCCGGUGCCGGAAGGUUAAGGGGAGCGCUCAGGGGAGACCCGAAGGUGCGAACCGAAGCCCCGGUAAACGGCGGCCGUAACUAUAACGGUCCUAAGGUAGCGAAAUUCCUUGUCGGGUAAGUUCCGACC
rnacentral:rRNA from 1 species